AAGUCGAGCGAACGGACGAGAAGCUUGCUUCUCUGAUGUUAGCGGCGGACGGGUGAGUAACACGUGGAUAACCUACCUAUAAGACUGGGAUAACUUCGGGAAACCGGAGCUAAUACCGGAUAAUAUUUUGAACCGCAUGGUUCAAAAGUGAAAGACGGUCUUGCUGUCACUUAUAGAUGGAUCCGCGCUGCAUUAGCUAGUUGGUAAGGUAACGGCUUACCAAGGCAACGAUGCAUAGCCGACCUGAGAGGGUGAUCGGCCACACUGGGACUGAGACACGGCCCAGACUCCUACGGGAGGCAGCAGUAGGGAAUCUUCCGCAAUGGACGAAAGUCUGACGGAGCAACGCCGCGUGAGUGAUGAAGGCUUUCGGGUCGUAAAACUCUGUUGUUAGGGAAGAACAAGUGCUAGUUGAAUAAGCUGGCACCUUGACGGUACCUAACCAGAAAGCCACGGCUAACUACGUGCCAGCAGCCGCGGUAAUACGUAGGUGGCAAGCGUUAUCCGGAAUUAUUGGGCGUAAAGCGCGCGCAGGUGGUUUCUUAAGUCUGAUGUGAAAGCCCACGGCUCAACCGUGGAGGGUCAUUGGAAACUGGGAGACUUGAGUGCAGAAGAGGAAAGUGGAAUUCCAUGUGUAGCGGUGAAAUGCGUAGAGAUAUGGAGGAACACCAGUGGCGAAGGCGACUUUCUGGUCUGUAACUGACACUGAGGCGCGAAAGCGUGGGGAGCAAACAGGAUUA
rnacentral:rRNA from 1 species